AUGGCUCAGGAUGAACGCUAGCUACAGGCUUAACACAUGCAAGUCGAGGGGCAGCAUGAAACUUAGCUUGCUAAGUUCGAUGGCGACCGGCGCACGGUGAGUAACACGUAUCCAACCUACCGUUUACUACGGGAUAGCCUUCUAGAAAAGGAGAUUAAUACCGUAUGGCAUUCUAAAGUUUCAUGACAUUAGAAUUAAAGGUUUACCGGUAAUCGAUGGGGGAUGCGUUCCAUUAGAUAGUAGGCGGGGUAACGGCCCACCUAGUCAGCGAUGGAUAGGGGUUCUGAGAGGAAGGUCCCCCACAUUGGAACUGAGACACGGUCCAAACUCCUACGGGAGGCAGCAGUGAGGAAUAUUGGUCAAUGGGCGAGAGCCUGAACCAGCCAAGUAGCGUGAAGGAUGACUGCCCUAUGGGUUGUAAACUUCUUUUAUAAAGGAAUAAAGUGGUCCACGUGUGGAUUUUUGUAUGUACUUUAUGAAUAAGGAUCGGCUAACUCCGUGCCAGCAGCGGC
rnacentral:rRNA from 1 species